rnacentral:rRNA from 1 species
GACGGGGGAUGCAAGUGUUAUCCGGAAUCACUGGGCGUAAAGCGUCUGCAGGUGGUUUCCUAAGUCCACUGUUAAACCUUGAGGCUCAACCUCAAAUCUGCAUUGGAAACUAGGAGACUUGAGUAUAGUAGGGGUAGAGGGAAUUUCCAGUGGAGCGGUGAAAUGCGUAGAUAUUGGAAAGAGCACCGAUGGCGAAGGCACUCUACUGGGCUAUUACUGACACUCAGAGACGAAAGCUAGGGGAGCAAAUGGG